CUGACCCUCCCCCGUUCAUGCUCUGUCUCUCUGUGUCUCAAAAGUAAACAAACGUUAAAAAAAAAAAUUAAAAAAAAAAACACAAAGUAUUGGGGAAUCUUAAUCUUUCACCUGAUGACUGGAUAUUUUACGUUAGGAAUUUUGGUUAAUUUUUUUAGAUGGGAUAAUGAAGCUAUGAGUAUAGUUUUAAAAGGUUCCUUAUCCUUUAGAAACACACACUUAGGUAUUUAAAGAUGCAAUUAUAUGAUGUCUGGGGUUCACUGCAAAACAAUCCAGGAAAGGAGAUGGGGUGGGGGAGGGCGGUGUAGAUGAACUGAAUCGGCUAUAAGUUGAUAGCUAUCCAAACUUGCUAAUAUGUGUGAGUUCAUCAUCACAGCCUCUCUUUUCUGUACAUGUCUGAAAAUUUCCC